GAUGAACGUUGGCGGCGUGCCUAAUACAUGCAAGUCGUGCGAGAAGCUAUCUUCGGAUAGCGGACAGCGGCGGACGGGUGAGUAACACGUAGAAAUAUACCCCAAGGUGAGGGAUAAGCAUCGGAAACGGUGUCUAAUACCGCAUAUUAUCUAAGGAUAAAAGAUUUAUCGCCAUGGGAAUAGUCUGCGUCUGAUUAGCUAGUUGGUAGGGUAAAGGCCUACCAAGGCGAUGAUCGGUAGCUGGUUUGAGAGGAUGAUCAGCCACACUGGGACUGAGACACGGCCCAGACUCCUACGGGAGGCAGCAGUAGGGAAUUUUCCACAAUGGACGAAAGUCUGAUGGAGCAAUGCCGCGUGCAGGAUGAAGGUCUUCGGAUUGUAAACUGCUUUUAUAGUUGAAGAUUAUGACGGUAAGCUAUGAAUAAGGACCGGCUAACUACGUG
rnacentral:rRNA from 1 species